GAGGGGAGGGCACGAUUGUGGGAACGGAAGGAGGCCAGAGAGGCGGGGGGAUCAGGCCUGGGUGGGGGCGGGAGAGGGAACGGGUUAAACAAGUUGACGCUGUGCAUCUUUGUGUGUCUGUGUGUGUGUGUGUGUGUGUCUGUGUGUGUGUCUGUGUGUGUGUGUGUCUGUGUGUGUGUCUGUGUGUGUGAGAGAGAGAGAGAGAGAGAGAGAAGCUGUAUGCCUAAUCUUUGUGUAAUACACGUUCCUUUAUGUGAAUGCAUUUAAUAGCACUCUCCGGUUUCCCCGUGAAGUGUUUAUGUUAAUUGUUCACUAUUUUGAGGCCGAGUUUGACACAUUUACGAUGUCCCGUGUUAUUUUGCCCCCGGCCCUCUUACAUCAUUCAUUGUUUUGCUUUCCACAGCCCUUCACUCUCUGGAAAACGCUGCUGGAAAAGAACCUCAGAGCUGCACCGUACAUACGGUUCCAGGCUGUAAGGAAGCCCGGUAGCAUUCCCUUUCUCUCUCGCUUCCCUCAGUCGAUCAACCCGAGGCUCUGCAGUUUGCUUCAAUCACAGCUUUCUAAAUGGAAACACAUGGAAGGUCAUCUACUGACUGAUUCCCAGAAUUCCUGGCUAUGAGGUCACUCUGUGUCUACGUUGUUUACUGAUCCUGGCUUUCACUGCUUGAAAAUGGAAAUGUAACCUCGCCCUCACCAGGAACACCGUGGGGCUCGAUGUUGGCAUCAGCACUACUGAGGUCGAACCAUUGUAAGGUGAUUUGUUUAAACAAUGCUUUUUGGGUUUAUCUUGAUGAGCUUUAUGGCACUAAUCCACAUGUAAAGAUAGAUAAUGAAGCUCCUCAGUCCUGCAGGAACCAUUAGUGGGUCCGUCAAUACAAACUAUGGGAAAAUAUAUAAAAGGAUGCACAAAGAAUUUCUCAAUGUUACCAUAAAAUGUGUUUGAUUGAAGUGCUGGGAGAAGCAGAUGCAGCGUAUUUACAUGUGAUAAUGUACAAAAAAAAAAAAAAGAUGUACAUCGAGGGAAAAAAAUGAAGGUGCUGAACCACACUUUUUAGGGAAGUGACUCAAUAGCUGAGCUUUUGCCUAACGUUGACUCUUCUAUUGUGAAAUCUGUGAGACUGCAUCUGUCAUGGGGACGGAUUAAUUCCACCUGGCUGAGCGAGCCUGUUGCAUAACACCUUACUCACAAUGAGAGAGGACAGAUUGACUCAGGCUGUCGUCUUGCCUGCCAGCAUCGGUUUACAGGACCAGUAAUUCUGUUCCUUCUUCCUUCUUCUCAGC
rnacentral:lncRNA from 1 species